GGAGGGUUCGCAUAGAGGUCUAGUGCGCUCGCUUGGAAAGCGAGUAGGGGGAAACCCCUCAUGAGUUCGAAUCUCAUACCCUCCG
rnacentral:tRNA from 1 species